GCCCUUAGAGAUUUGAUCAUGGCUCAGGACGAACGCGUGGCGGCGCGCUUAACACAUGCGAGUUGUACGCUCCGCCCUUUUCUGCCCUUCAGGGCAGAGAGGAUACCGGAGAGUAACGAACGGGUGAGUAACGCGUACGCAACCUGCCCUGAGGAGGAGGAUAACCCUGCGAAAGCGGGGCUAAUCCAUCCAUAUGUUAGGGGAUGAGGAACAUCCCUUAAUGAAAGGCGGCAUUAAGCCGUCGUCUCACGAUGGGCCUGCGUCGGAUUAGCCAGCUGGUGAGGUAGCGGCUCACCAGGGCGACAAUCCGUAGCUGGUCUGAGAGGACGAUCAGCCACACUGGGACUGACACACCGCCCAGACUCCUACGGGAGGCAGCACUGGGGAAUCUUCCGCAAUGCGCACAAGCCUGACGGACCGACGCCACGAUGGCUGAAGAA
rnacentral:rRNA from 1 species